AUGUGCAUUCUGGAAUGUGUAGAGGAUCUCUCCUCUUUAGUGAUUCCUGAUCUCAAGUUUUAUGUUCCCAAUACAGUGAUCACUCCAAAAUCUCUCCUCUGCACUUCAGAUACUUCUGCUUGGCUUCUUAGUCCCCUACCCUCGAGAAAUGUCUUAAGGGAAAAUCUAGUGUGGCGUGUCUGUUUCACUUCUCUGUGUCACCCUUUCUUGGGGAUCAGUUUGUGAAUUUCUGGAUACCUUGGCAGUCCCAAACUCCACAUUUAUCUGAGUUCUUCAGAGAUUGCUUCGAGUUCUACUGUAUUUUCCACCUGUUAGCAAGAGGUCCUUUGUAGCACUUCUCAGCCUUUCACCUUGUCCCAAGACUUGAUAAGCAUCCCAAGGGCAAAGUGGCAUGCAGAAAGUUGAUGUUACCUUGAUGUGCUUCCCUAGUUUCUAAGAUCUGACUCCUCAAUUACUGGCCGCAUUUGUAGCUAUCCAAUGCCUUCAAACAAAGGCUGGGCUGGUUUUCAUGGGUAUGCAACAGUGAACCAUGAACAAAGGAAAGGACAGCACAAGUACAGUAGCAUUCUGUGCAGAGUCAAAACAAAAUGAAAGGGGCUAGCCCCAGUGGCUUAGUGGUCUGCUUGGGCAGCCCUGUUUGGUUUCCAGGCAUGGAUCUACACCACUGAAUGGCCAUCCAUCAGUGGCCAUGCUGUGGCAGCAGCUCACAUACAAAAUAGAGGAAGAUUGGCCACAGAUGAUAGCUUAGGGCAAAUCUUACUCAGCAAAAAAAAUUAAUUAAAAAAGUAAGGGUGAAAUAUGUGUAGCAUGUCUGUAGAGAAAGGACUAUAUUUUUUCUUUUCUUUUUUUUUUUUUUUUUUAAGAAGAUUAGCCCUGAGCUAACAUCCACUGCCAGUCCUCAUCCUUUCUGCUGAGGGAGAUAGGCCCUGAACUAACAUCUAUGCUCAUCUUCCUGUAUAUACAUUCCUCUAUAUACGUUUAUACAUUGGAUGCCUGGCACAGCAUGGCUUGAUAAGCAGUGCAUAGGUCCACACCUGGGAUUCAAACUGGCGAACCCCGGGCCACCAAAGCAGAGUAUGCAAACUUAACUGCUGCGCCACCAGGCUGGCCCUGAAAAAGAACAAUUUUGCUUUCCCUGGAGCAUGAUAUGUAAAAGAGGUGAUGUUACAUAUGACUAGAGAGAGAGGUGACAGAACAUUAAGGAGUUUUUUGCCAUUUAAAGUGCCAACAUUCUUCGCUAAGCCCCCUCCAGUUGACUGUACAGAAAUGUUAGCAACCUAGCAUCUCCUCUGAGUGUCUGCUGCCAUACAGAGUCUAUAAUACGUGCCACUUUGUAGUUUUUUGCCAUCUCAGUCUCUAUGCUACUCUUCCAGCUCUGUGCUUCAGGUAUCUGAGUCAGGUGUGUUGAAUUAGAGCAAAUAAAUAAAGAAAUUAAAAAGAAAAUAGCGUUACA
rnacentral:lncRNA from 1 species